UUUUGGACAAUGGGCGCAAGCCUGAUCCAGCCAUGCCGCGUGCAGGAUGAAGGCCUUCGGGUUGUAAACUGCUUUUGUACGGAACGAAAAGACUCUUUCUAAUAAAGAGGGUCCAUGACGGUACCGUAAGAAUAAGCACCGGCUAACUACGUGCCAGCAGCCGCGGUAAUACGUAGGGUGCAAGCGUUAAUCGGAAUUACUGGGCGUAAAGCGUGCGCAGGCGGUGAUGUAAGACAGAUGUGAAAUCCCCGGGCUCAACCUGGGAACUGCAUUUGUGACUGCAUCGCUGGAGUGCGGCAGAGGGGGAUGGAAUUCCGCGUGUAGCAGUGAAAUGCGUAGAUAUGCGGAGGAACACCGAUGGCGAAGGCAAUCCCCUGGGCCUGCACUGACGCUCAUGCACGAAAGCGUGGGGAGCAAACAGG
rnacentral:rRNA from 1 species